rnacentral:rRNA from 1 species
CUACGGGGGGCUCCAGUGGGGAAUAUCGGACAAUGGGGGCAACCCUGAUCCAGCCAUGCCGCGUGAGUGAUGAAGGCCUUAGGGUUGUAAAGCUCUUUCACCCGUGACGAUGAUGACGGUAGCGGGAGAAGAAGCCCCGGCUAACUCCGUGCCAGCAGCCGCGGUAAGGCGGAGGGGGCUAGCGUUGUUCGGAAUUACUGGGCGUAAAGCGCGCGUAGGCGGCUGACCAAGUCAGGUGUGAAAGCCCUGGGCUCAACCCGGGAACUGCACUUGAGACUGGUCGGCUCGAGUCCGGGAGAGGGUGGUGGAACUCCCAGUGUAGAGGUGAAAUUCGUAGAUAUUGGGAAGAACACCGGUGGCGAAGGCGGCCACCUGGCCCGGCACUGACGCUGAGGCGCGAAAGCGUGGGGAGCAAACAGGAUUAGAUACCCUUGUAGUC